rnacentral:rRNA from 1 species
CCUACGGGUUGCAGCAGUGGGGAAUAUUGCACAAUGGGCGCAAGCCUGAUGCAGCCAUGCCGCGUGUAUGAAGAAGGCCCUAGGGUUGUAAAGUACUUUCAGUCGGGAGGAAGGCGUUGAUGCUAAUAUCAUCAACGAUUGACGUUACCGACAGAAGAAGCACCGGCUAACUCUGUGCCAGCAGCCGCGGUAAUACGGAGGGUGCAAGCGUUAAUCGGAAUUACUGGGCGUAAAGCGCACGCAGGCGGUUGAUCAAGUUAGAUGUGAAAUCCCCGGGCUUAACCUGGGAAUGGCAUCUAAGACUGGUCAGCUAGAGUCUUGUAGAGGGGGGUAGAAUUCCAUGUGUAGCGGUGAAAUGCGUAGAGAUGUGGAGGAAUACCGGUGGCUAAGGCGGCCCCCUGGACGAAGACUGACGCUCAGGUGCGAAAGCGUGGGGAGCAAACAGGAUUAGAUACCCGCGUAGUC